GGAACCCGGUGCAAGUCCGGGACGGUCCCGCCACUGUGAGCGAAGCCCACUUCGCGAGUCAGACAC
rnacentral:ncRNA from 2 species